AGUGAACGUUGGCGGCGUGGAUUAGGCAUGCAAGUCGAGCGAGAACCGUAGCAAUACGGGGACAGCGGCGAAAGGGACAGUAAUGUGUAGGUACCUACCUCCGGGUUCGGGAUAGCUGCGGGAAACUGUAGGUAAUACCGAAUAACGUCUCCGGACCAAAGGUGUGAUUCCACCUGGAGAGGGGCCUGCAUCCUAUUAGCUUGUUGGCGGGGUAACGGCCCACCAAGGCGACGAUGGGUAGCGGGUGUGAGAGCACGACCCGCGUCAUGGGGACUGAGACACUGCCCAGACACCUACGGGUGGCUGCAGUCGCGGAUCUUCGGCAAUGGGCGCAAGCCUGACCGAGCGACGCCGCGUGCGGGAUGAAGGCCUUCGGGUUGUAAACCGCUGUCGUAGAGGAGGAAGUGCAGGGGGGUUCUCCCCUCUGUUUGACCUAUUCUAGGAGGAAGUACGGGCUAAGUUCGUGCCAGCCGCCGCCGUAA
rnacentral:rRNA from 1 species